UACGUAGGCAGCAAGCGUUGUUCGGAAUUACUGGGCGUAAAGAGUGUGUAGGCGGUGCUCUAAGUCUGUUGUGAAAUCUCCCGGCUUAACUGGGAGGGUGCGGCGGAGACUGGAGUGCUAGAGUGUGGGAGAGGUAAGCGGAAUUCCUGGUGUAGCGGUGAAAUGCGUAGAUAUCGGGAGGAACACCUGUGGUGUAGACGGCUAUCUGGACGGCGACUGACGCUGAGACACGAAAGCGUGGGUAGCAAACAGG
rnacentral:rRNA from 1 species